rnacentral:rRNA from 1 species
UACGUAGGGUCCGAGCGUUGUCCGGAAUUAUUGGGCGUAAAGGGCUCGUAGGCGGUCUGUUGCGUCGGGAGUGAAAACUUACAGCUUAACUGUGAGCGUGCUUCCGAUACGGGCUGACUAGAGGUAUGCAGGGGAGAACGGAAUUCCUGGUGUAGCGGUGAAAUGCGCAGAUAUCAGGAGGAACACCGGUGGCGAAGGCGGUUCUCUGGGCAUUACCUGACGCUGAGGAGCGAAAGUGUGGGGAGCGAACAGG